rnacentral:rRNA from 1 species
GGUUAAGCGACUAAGCGUACACGGUGGAUGCCCUGGCAGUCAGAGGCGAUGAAGGACGUGCUAAUCUGCGAUAAGCGUCGGUAAGGUGAUAUGAACCGUUAUAACCGGCGAUUUCCGAAUGGGGAAACCCAGUGUGAUUCGUCACACUAUCAUUAACUGAAUCCAUAGGUUAAUGAGGCGAACCGGGGGAACUGAAACAUCUAAGUACCCCGAGGAAAAGAAAUCAACCGAGAUUCCCCCAGUAGCGGCGAGCGAACGGGGAGCAGCCCAGAGCCUGAAUCAGUGUGUGUGUUAGUGGAAGCGUCUGGAAAGGCGCGCGAUACAGGGUGACAGCCCCGUACACAAAAAUGCACAUGCUGUGAGCUCGAUGAGUAGGGCGGGACACGUGGUAUCCUGUCUGAAUAUGGGGGGACCAUCCUCCAAGGCUAAAUACUCCUGACUGACCGAUAGUGAACCAGUACCGUGAGGGAAAGGCGAAAAGAACCCCGGCGAGGGGAGUGAAAAAGAACCUGAAACCGUGUACGUACAAGCAGUGGGAGCACGCUUAGGCGUGUGACUGCGUACCUUUUGUAUAAUGGGUCAGCGACUUAUAUUCUGUAGCAAGGUUAACCGAAUAGGGGAGCCGAAGGGAAACCGAGUCUUAACUGGGCGUUAAGUUGCAGGGUAUAGACCCGAAACCCGGUGAUCUAGCCAUGGGCAGGUUGAAGGUUGGGUAACACUAACUGGAGGACCGAACCGACUAAUGUUGAAAAAUUAGCGGAUGACUUGUGGCUGGGGGUGAAAGGCCAAUCAAACCGGGAGAUAGCUGGUUCUCCCCGAAAGCUAUUUAGGUAGCGCCUCGUGAAUUCAUCUCCGGGGGUAGAGCACUGUUUCGGCAAGGGGGUCAUCCCGACUUACCAACCCGAUGCAAACUGCGAAUACCGGAGAAUGUUAUCACGGGAGACACACGGCGGGUGCUAACGUCCGUCGUGAAGAGGGAAACAACCCAGACCGCCAGCUAAGGUCCCAAAGUCAUGGUUAAGUGGGAAACGAUGUGGGAAGGCCCAGACAGCCAGGAUGUUGGCUUAGAAGCAGCCAUCAUUUAAAGAAAGCGUAAUAGCUCACUGGUCGAGUCGGCCUGCGCGGAAGAUGUAACGGGGCUAAACCAUGCACCGAAGCUGCGGCAGCGACGCUUAUGCGUUGUUGGGUAGGGGAGCGUUCUGUAAGCCUGCGAAGGUGUGCUGUGAGGCAUGCUGGAGGUAUCAGAAGUGCGAAUGCUGACAUAAGUAACGAUAAAGCGGGUGAAAAGCCCGCUCGCCGGAAGACCAAGGGUUCCUGUCCAACGUUAAUCGGGGCAGGGUGAGUCGACCCCUAAGGCGAGGCCGAAAGGCGUAGUCGAUGGGAAACAGGUUAAUAUUCCUGUACUUGGUGUUACUGCGAAGGGGGGACGGAGAAGGCUAUGUUGGCCGGGCGACGGUUGUCCCGGUUUAAGCGUGUAGGCUGGUUUUCCAGGCAAAUCCGGAAAAUCAAGGCUGAGGCGUGAUGACGAGGCACUACGGUGCUGAAGCAACAAAUGCCCUGCUUCCAGGAAAAGCCUCUAAGCAUCAGGUAACAUCAAAUCGUACCCCAAACCGACACAGGUGGUCAGGUAGAGAAUACCAAGGCGCUUGAGAGAACUCGGGUGAAGGAACUAGGCAAAAUGGUGCCGUAACUUCGGGAGAAGGCACGCUGAUAUGUAGGUGAAGUCCCUCGCGGAUGGAGCUGAAAUCAGUCGAAGAUACCAGCUGGCUGCAACUGUUUAUUAAAAACACAGCACUGUGCAAACACGAAAGUGGACGUAUACGGUGUGACGCCUGCCCGGUGCCGGAAGGUUAAUUGAUGGGGUCAGCGCAAGCGAAGCUCUUGAUCGAAGCCCCGGUAAACGGCGGCCGUAACUAUAACGGUCCUAAGGUAGCGAAAUUCCUUGUCGGGUAAGUUCCGACCUGCACGAAUGGCGUAAUGAUGGCCAGGCUGUCUCCACCCGAGACUCAGUGAAAUUGAACUCGCUGUGAAGAUGCAGUGUACCCGCGGCAAGACGGAAAGACCCCGUGAACCUUUACUAUAGCUUGACACUGAACAUUGAGCCUUGAUGUGUAGGAUAGGUGGGAGGCUUUGAAGUGUGGACGCCAGUCUGCAUGGAGCCGACCUUGAAAUACCACCCUUUAAUGUUUGAUGUUCUAACGUGGACCCGUAAUCCGGGUUGCGGACAGUGUCUGGUGGGUAGUUUGACUGGGGCGGUCUCCUCCUAAAGAGUAACGGAGGAGCACGAAGGUUGGCUAAUCCUGGUCGGACAUCAGGAGGUUAGUGCAAUGGCAUAAGCCAGCUUGACUGCGAGCGUGACGGCGCGAGCAGGUGCGAAAGCAGGUCAUAGUGAUCCGGUGGUUCUGAAUGGAAGGGCCAUCGCUCAACGGAUAAAAGGUACUCCGGGGAUAACAGGCUGAUACCGCCCAAGAGUUCAUAUCGACGGCGGUGUUUGGCACCUCGAUGUCGGCUCAUCACAUCCUGGGGCUGAAGUAGGUCCCAAGGGUAUGGCUGUUCGCCAUUUAAAGUGGUACGCGAGCUGGGUUUAGAACGUCGUGAGACAGUUCGGUCCCUAUCUGCCGUGGGCGCUGGAGAAUUGAGGGGGGCUGCUCCUAGUACGAGAGGACCGGAGUGGACGCAUCACUGGUGUUCGGGUUGUCAUGCCAAUGGCACUGCCCGGUAGCUAAAUGCGGAAGAGAUAAGUGCUGAAAGCAUCUAAGCACGAAACUUGCCCCGAGAUGAGUUCUCCCUGACCCUUUAAGGGUCCUGAAGGAACGUUGAAGACGACGACGUUGAUAGGCCGGGUGUGUAAGCGCAGCGAUGCGUUGAGCUAACCGGUACUAAUGAACCGUGAGGCUUAACCUU